AUGGCAUAUGGAAACAUACUGUUAGAUUUAUCAUCGAAAGUUGUCUCUCUUUUUUUCUCUCAUUAUAUAUACUUAAAUAUUUUGCUAAACAUUUUAUUAGGAUAAUGCAAAAGUACUUGUCCAUGUAGGUAAUUUACUAUCUUCUCCCUAAAAAGGUGCCUCUAGAUUUGUUAGAGCAUAGAGGCAUGCACUAUUACAGUAGCUAGAACAUGAGAUUUCAAUUCUGAAAGUUAUCAUAGACCUCAUGUCACGUUUGAUGGUGACAUGUACAAGUGGGAACAGAUAUUCCAGAUUUGAUAACUAACUGAUGCAAGGUUUGAGGUACCUGGAACAGAUCCAUUUGAAAAAUUGCGAGAAUUGCUAUAACACAAAGAACAUAUUCCAAAGAAUUGGAAUGUAUUGAGCCAUUAAAAUGCAAAACAGUGAAUAUAUAGCUCGUGAAGUAUUAAAUGUCCUCUACUCUUGAAGUUUGUGUCAUAGAAGCUACUGUUAGAUGAUGUUUGUACCUGAUAAGGGAGCAUUAGUUUGCUCACUCACCCUUUUUAUUUCAAUCUCUGGCGCUUCCCAUUUCUUAAUGGAAACCUAAAUAGUAACGAUCUAUGCCAGAGCAGAAUGCAGUAGGCACAUUUUUCCUAAUGAAGAGCUCUGGCCUCUUGCCAUUUCAGAGUAUUCAUGUUUGCCGUGUAGCUGUUACUGAUAGUGUUGGUUUCUUAACGCAACACCUCAAUUUAAAUCUUCAUGUCAUUUCUUUAUGCAAUUCCUCGUGUGGGUCAAAAUCAAACCUCUUAACACUCCUGCUUAUCCAGGGGCUCAUAUCGUGCUCGGUAAGUAUCAGCCCAGUGACUCAGGGAAUCAUAAGCCAGGAUUGCUACUAAGGUAAUGACCUUAUGUUGUUACACAUAAUCCCAUACCCUUGUCGAUUUGGUGCAAGUUACGAUUUGUGUUAUCAGGAUCACGUUACGAAUCUUGCUGCUUUCUUCUGCAGCGCAAGUGCGGGAGGCUCCCGAUUCCCGAGGAUAUUUUAAACCUGCAGAGCCUGCUCGAUGGAACUGAAGUACUUACUAUCUGUAUAUAAUCUGGAUAUGGUGUUGUGUUAUGUGUAGGCUGGAAUAAUGUUGUAAUGAGUAAUGAAUAGCAUGAUGUUGGACCACAGGGGUAUAUGUUAUUUUGCAGUAUGUAUCAGCACUG
rnacentral:lncRNA from 1 species